rnacentral:rRNA from 1 species
GGGUCAGUAGGUUGGUCGUGCCACCGGUACGUACUGGUCUCACUGAUUCCUCCUUCCUGAAGUACCGUAAUGCCAUUAAUUUGGUGUUGCGGGGAAACAGGACUGUUACUUUGAAAAAAUUAGAGUGUUUAAAGCAAGCUAACGCUUGGAUACAUUAGCAUGGAAUAAUGAAAUAGGACGAUCGAUCCUAUUUUGUUGGUUUCUAGGAUUGACGUA